GAUGAACGCUAGCGGCAGGCCUAAUACAUGCAAGCUGAACGGCAAGAUUUGUAGCAAUACGAGUCCUAGAGUAGCGUAAGGGUGCGUAACACGUAUGCAAUCUGCCCGCAACAGGAGGAUAGCUUAGCGAAAGUUGAGAUAAGACUCCAUAAGAUCACGAGAGGGCAUCUGAUUGUGAUUAAACUACAAGGGGUUGCGGAUGAGCANGCGUCUGAUUAGUUAGUUGGCGGGGUAACGGCCCACCAAGACGAUGAUCAGUAGGGGAAC
rnacentral:rRNA from 1 species